AGCUGUUGGAUGCUCCCAGCUCUUCAAAGACCAUUUCCUGGGACUUCCUGAGAGCCUCUUCACAGCUCUGAAGCAAAGAUGCACCACAAAGACCAUGAGAGGAUGGGGUCAGCAAAGCCUCUCUGUGGCCUCUGUGAGCUCAAGAUUAGCAGAUAUCACAGAAAAUUAAGUAAAUGAUGAGUUGUAAAUUUUAAAGAUGCCUUAACUAGUCAAAUUCCCUGAGUUUUUCUUCUGUGUGGCCCAAAAACUCCAGGGUGAAGGGGAGCCUGCUGUGUGGAGCCCCUUACAGUGGGGAAACCCCAAGGAAGUUGUUCAUGUACCUGCUCUAUCUGGUGACCAAAGAGUUAUUUGAGGCUACAAAGACCAAAAAUCCAUUUCACAACUGUUUCAAGGCAACUGAACAACAAUUCUGCAGGCCCAAGAGCUGAGCCUCUGGGGUGUUUGAACACUGAUGCUGAUUAUCAGGCAAUGCUACAGGAGAGAGUCAAGGCCAAAGAGCUGCCAGAAAAAAAUUGUGCAACCACAGAUAGCAGAUCACUGCUCUUUAGGCUUUGUUCCUGUCAGUGGGGCAGCUCAAAACUGCAAUCCAGAUGUAAAACACAGGAUAAUAAAAAAUAUAUGUGGAAAGGAAUGAAGCACUUCUGUGGAGGAGGCACUGGGUUGGGAAACUGGAGUUAGCAGCUUUAUGGUUGCCCUGGUCCUUUCUUUUUCCAGAGGGAGGGCAUGAAAACAAAAAGUGACUUCCAUGACUGAAGUAAUCUCAGGAAAACUGGGAAAGAUUUGAAGACUUUUUUAACAAAUUUGCAGCCACUGCCAAGCCAUGGUGUCACUGGGGUUCGUUAUGUGCAAUAAUGGAUCACAAAUCUAAUCACAAGCCAAAGAUGGCAAAGGCCCACAGAAGAACAGUCCUAUGCAACAAAAAAUAAUCAAUCCUUGGAUAAAAAAAGCAAUAUGGAUCAUAUUUCUAUGAUACAGGAAGAGCCUUGGAUGCUAAGCAGUAGGAAUAAAUGCAAUAAAUUAAUAAAAAAUGA